CGAGUGAUCGUAAGCAAAUCUCAAAAAUAAACGUCUCAGUUCGGAUUGUAGUCUGCAACUCGACUACAUGAAGCUGGAAUCGCUAGUAAUCGCGAAUCAGCAUGUCGCGGUGAAUACGUUCCCGGGUCUUGUACACACCGCCCGUCACACCAUGGGAGUCGGAAAUGCCCGAAGCCGGUGACUCAACCUUUAAGGAGAGAGCCGUCGAAGGCAGGUCUGAUAACUGGGGUGAAGUCGUAACAAGGUAGC
rnacentral:rRNA from 1 species